UACAGAGGGUGCAAGCGUUAAUCGGAAUUACUGGGCGUAAAGCGUGCGUAGACGGUUGCGUAAGUCAGAUGUGAAGCCCCGGGCUCAACCUGGGAACUGCAUUUGAACUGGCGGGCUUGAGUGUGGCAGAGGGGGGUGGAAUUCCGCGUGUAGCAGUGAAAUGCGUAGAGAUGCGGAGGAACACCGAUGGCGGAAGGCAGCCCCUGGGCCAACACUGACGCUCGAGGCGACGAAAGCCGUGGGGAGCGAACAGG
rnacentral:rRNA from 1 species